GACAGAGGUCCCGAGCGUUAGGCGGAAUCACUGGGCUUAAAGCGUGUGUAGGCGGAUGCCUAAGUACCUUGUGAAAUCCCACGGCUCACCCGUGGAACUGCUCGGUAUACUGGGUGUCUUGAGCCACUUAGGGGCUACCGGAACAAAUGGUGGAGCGGUGAAAUGCGUAGAUAUCAAGAGGAACACCUGAGGUGAAGACGGGUUGCUGGGCUGACACUGACGCUGAGGCGCGAAAGCCAGGGGAGCAAACAGG
rnacentral:rRNA from 1 species